ACCCGCGCUCCAGCUGCAUUUCCGCCGGCUCUGGGCGGAAGAGGAGCUUCCUGCUGCAGUAGUCGCCUGGCCGUUUCUCCCGAGCCGUCCACGCCGCCGGUUUCCAUCUCCCGCAAUCCCUAGACAUCCGCAGCUUCCCGCACUGUCGGCUGUGUCUACGGCCGCUGUCCCGCGCCAUAGGUCGCGGCUGCCCGGGGUGAGUCCACUGUGGGGAUCGCUGGGCGCGUGGUAUGCCCCCCACCACCUUUCGGGGAAACUGAGGCCCGAGGAGUCGGGGAGAGCCGGCGGAGGUCAGCCGCGGUUCCAGGCCUCGCCCCUGGGUUCGGGCCCAGCUCCUCCGUCGGUGCGGACCUCUCGGGAUGCGUGUCCCGGGUCGGAUCGCUCGCCCUCAGCCCCCCUCACCCCUCCGCCGGGAAGACUCGGGUCCCGCCAACUACCAGAAGCGGGUCCGGCGACGCGCAGACCGAGUGCCGCCGCCAGUGGUGCGGAGCCCCGUGUGGCCCCGGGCCUGAAGAGCUCCCGGGGCCGCGUGAUUUUCACGCACACACCCACCUCCGGCUCUGGGCCUCGAAUCCCCCAAAGCGCUUCAUCGGUUGCCCACGAAGUGACCAUGUGAGCGUUAACCCGUUUCCUUGUCAACAAACAGCCUUUGAGAGAAAGCGUUAAAACCCCCGUUGUGCAGAGCGGUUGCGUGAGUUUUCAAUUGGGGGCGCUCGCGGGGCCCCAGGGCGGCAGAGGCCGAUUCCGGUGUCUUUGUUUUGCACUAAAGCCCCUUCCCGGUGCUGUCUCCUGCGUAGGCGUUGCGGGCUCUGAGGCUCUGUUGGAAGCAGAUGGAAACUCUCGGUUGGACGGCUUUGGGGGCUGUGCGUCAGGCAGCGCCCCCUUCGUUGCUGCAGGACCCUGAGCCGCAGCGCCGGAUGUGCCCCCGCGGUGUCCAGGGGGUGAGGCCUGGGAGUGGGUCGUGACUGCUGUGCCAUGUUUGUGAAAGGCGACCUCAGGGAGAAGAACGUGGAUCGGGAGGUCCCAGGUGGAUCUGCAUGUCCAGAGGCUCCAUGAGAGGUGUCUUACAGCCAGGCGCGAGGCCACAAAUGCCCCGAGGUCAGCCUUCGAUCCGGAGGCUGUUGAAGUAAGUCCCAAGGCCGUGAGUCAUUGACCCUCGGGAUGACGUGGGAUGUGUGUUCGCUGAGACUUUUCUCCGAGGUUCUCUCGGUGCCAUUAGUAGUCACCAGAGGGGCAGAGAAUGGAGAGGGAGUCCUCUAUGCGAAGCAUCCCCAGAGUACCCCGUGCUGUCCGCUCAGAGCACCUCGGAGCAGCUCUUGGCUCCGCGCGUGACAUCAGAGGGAAGGUGCUGGGGCUGCGGCCGGGUCCGCUCCAGCUGGCUCUGAGUCGGGACAGCUGUGCCCUGAGAAGCCGUAGACGGGAGGUCAGCCCCGUGUCCCUCUGCUGUGUCUGGAAUGACUUGAAUGAGCGAACGUUUUCCUCUCGCAUUCCAGCUGCUCAUCACUUUCCCCUCUGCCUACUCAUUCAAUAAACCUUACGGACUUGC